UAAAUGGCUGGGAUUGGGUAUAAGGAGC
rnacentral:piRNA from 2 species